UGCUUGCUUUAGCGACACACUAAAAUUGAAAACAGUACAGAGAACAUUAGUGUGGCCCUUGUGCAAGGUUGAUAUGCAAAUUUGUAAAGCUUUAAAGUCAUGG